rnacentral:rRNA from 1 species
CCUACGGGAGGCAGCAGUGAGGAAUAUUGGUCAAUGGGCGGGAGCCUGAACCAGCCAAGUCGCGUGAGGGAAGACGGUCCUAUGGAUUGUAAACCUCUUUAGCCGGGGAGCAAUGCCGGGCACGCGUGCCCUGAGGGAGAGUACCCGCAGAAUAAGCAUCGGCUAACUCCGUGCCAGCAGCCGCGGUAAUACGGAGGAUGCGAGCGUUAUCCGGAUUUAUUGGGUUUAAAGGGUGCGUAGGCGGAUCGUUAAGUCAGUGGUCAAAUUGAGGGGCUCAACCCCUUCCCGCCAUUGAAACUGGCGUUCUUGAGUGGAAGAGAAGUAUGCGGAAUGCGUGGUGUAGCGGUGAAAUGCAUAGAUAUCACGCAGAACCCCGAUUGCGAAGGCAGCAUGCCGGCUUCCGACUGACGCUGAAGCACGAAAGCGUGGGGAUCGAACAGGAUUAGAUACCCGAGUAGUC